rnacentral:rRNA from 1 species
UUUGUGGAGAGUUUGAUCCUGGCUCAGGACGAACGCUGGCGGCGUGCUUAACACAUGCAAGUCGAACGGAAAGGCCUGCAGCUUGCUGCGGGUACUCGAGUGGCGAACGGGUGAGUAACACGUGGGUGAUCUGCCUUGCACUUCGGGAUAAGCUUGGGAAACUGGGUCUAAUACCGGAUAGGACAGCUGUUUAGUGUCAGUUGUGGAAAGUUUUUUCGGUGCAAGAUGAGCUCGCGGCCUAUCAGCUUGUUGGUGGGGUAAUGGCCUACCAAGGCGUCGACGGGUAGCCGGCCUGAGAGGGUGUACGGCCACAUUGGGACUGAGAUACGGCCCAGACUCCUACGGGAGGCAGCAGUGGGGAAUAUUGCA